AAACACAUUUUUUAUUAUAAAUCUUGGUUGAUAAAUCAAGCAUAAAAUCUUAAAAGAAGCACUUUAAUCAUUAUCAACAUAGGAUACAGUGGCAUAAACAAAGUUCAUAUAAAAUAACUAACACAAAACCAAUCAAGCACUCUUCCUUAUAUAAUUAUUCUAACAUAUCAUUGAUAUACAAAACAGUAAUGCAGUAAGGGGAAGUAAUCAUACUGUAAAUAUAAACUGCCAAUAUAAAAAUUCAGCAACAAAACUCGAAUUUCUAUUAACAACCCAGAAUUUGGUAUAUCUAAGACAUAUAAUUUCAUUUUGAGCACUUGAAAUAUCUGUAUAACCAUAAAAGUAUGAUGGUCUAACUUACAUAUAUACAAUUUAUUUACGUCCAUUUAUUCAUUUUUAAGACUCACUUUCUAAUGUAAUAUUUCUCAACUAAUCUACGGAUACAGACUUCUUUAUCCUACAACUAGAUCUAUAAUCAAGUUGUACAGUUGUCUAAGACAAGAAUGAUUUCACUCAUGGAAAUGUGAAACAGAAAUGGCUGUAUUGAAACUACAAAUCUAAAAUAUGAUUGUUUAACUCACAAGACAAUCUAACUAGAAAACUCAAUCCCAAAAACAUUUUGUGUGAUGGAAGUAGAAAACAAUGAUGAUGCUUUAAAUAUGGUUAAAAAACAAGAGUAAAACGAUCCUACAGAAAUAAAGGUUGUGUAUAGAAUUGAUUCUCCACUAAUGACAUAUGUUAAGAAUGUACAGAAAUGUAUUUACUAUUGUGACUGUUGAACAUUGACAAUUUCAGGAAAUGCAAAAAAUAAAACAAAGAAUGAUUUAAAAAAAAUCAAAGCAAGAUUUCAUUUUUGAGAUGCCUAUCCAUAUGCAAUUUUUGCCAUUGUAAAACAUGAUUGAAAAAAUUUAAUAAUGCUUUCACAUGCAAGAUUAUAAGACAUAAUUUCAACUUCAAUACCUUGGAUAUGUAUAACAUUGUAUACUUAUUUUACUGCAAACUCAGAAAAUGAUGCAGCAAUUAUUAUUGCAAAAUACUGAUAACAUUUGAGAUCUUAUUAAUGUUAUUGAAAUAAUUUGUUAAGAAAUUCAGUACUGAAAAUAUGGCUGGAGGUUUUUGGAACUGUGAACUUGAUCUUCACAUUAAUAAAACCAUCACAAUAAUUUCUCAAUCUAUAUUAUUACUCUCAAAUCAAUAAAUAUCACCAAGAGUAGUAUAUAACAUUGCACUACCUUGCAAGUGAGUGAAAUUAAUUUUCUACAAGGAACAAUGUUCAAUAAUAUUUAUGCAAUAACCCUUUUAUUUGAUUGAAAAAAUUUUGAAAGUACAUCAUAUUUUCCUACAUUGGUUUGUAGCGUAUUGCACACUUAAUUUUGGUAACAUUCUACUGGGAAAAAAUGCUAGUAUACAAUAAUUAAAUAUACUUUUUAUGCCAAUAUUUGAAAGAUGAAUGUCAUUUAUCAGUAUUAAAUUCUUCAAAUAAUUGUUUUUUAAUGGUAGGCCAAAAUUCUUAUAAAAAUUUAAAGGCAAAACACUAGCAUAACCUUAGAAAUAUAUUUCCAAGACUUGCUUGUAUAUUUUCAUUAACCCAAUUAAUCAGAACUAUGAUAAAAAAAUUAAACCCAUUUGAUGCUAGUUUGAUUGGUUUUUGCAUGGUGACUAUUUCAGAUUCUAUUUUAAGAUUGUUGAUUAUGUAUACCUAAAGAUUUUUCUACAUAUUUAAAUGGGGACACUUUGAUAUGCAAUAAUGCAAAUUAUUCAUAUACCCAUCUAUCUCUAUGGUUGGUAUUGUCUCAAUUUGUGAAAGAACAACAUACUUUUGUAUAAGAAUUAACGAUCCACUAUUUUAGAUCAUAUUUGUUGAUGCAAAAAAAAAGUAAAGGGCAGAUAAUUUAAAAAAAUGUUUGAUAAUCUCAAGGAAAUGAGUUCUGAAAAAGGGUGAGAUUCUGAAUUUUCUCAUUUCACAUGUUAAAAAAACUAUGAAAUUCAUAAUCUUAAUUUAGGUAAAUGUUAUAGUAAAAAUAAUGGUACUAAAAUGUACAUGCUAUUUUAACACACAACAUUCAAAUAGAAACUUUGAAAUGUUAAUACAAGGAGAUAGAAUUUCUCUCAUUAGAGACAAUAUCCUUAAUAACAGUUAAAUCUAUUUCUUCAGAUAUUUCAAAAUUCAUACAAGCAGAAAAAAAAUCAAAACUGUACACACAUAUCAUUUCAAACACUAAUAAAUAUAUACAUAAAUUACAUUGUAACAAUAAAAAUUUAUAACAGACUAGGAAGGAGCACAAGAGACAAAAUGUUUGUCGAUAUACAAUAAUUCAAGAAAUUUAAAUAAUAAACAAGGUGCUUAUCAUUAUCUUACUUUAUAAAAGAACAUUGAUACCAUGUAAAAAGGUUACUUGGUAAAGUAAUGCAUUGAUUUACCAUCUAAUGGUCCCAAUUCAGGAUUUAUUUACAAUCAGAAGGGCCCAAUUUAGGAUUUAUUCAUGAUCUGAUGAGCCCAACUUAUGAUUUAUUCAAGAUCUGAUGGACCCAACUUAAGUUUUUUAAAUUCUUAAUUGCAAGUAUUCAUAUGUGGAUCUGCAAUGUCUAAUCAAGACAAUAAAACAAGCUGAACUAUUAGCUAUUGCAAACUAAUGAUGCCCCACUUUAAGUGGAAAGGAAUUUAAUAAGCAACAUAUGUAAAAACAUGUCUGACAAUACAGCAUGGUUUCGGCUGGGAUUCAUAGUUCCUAAACUAAAAUGUGAUGAAAUUUCACACAUGGCCAUAAAGUAUUCUUUUAACAGAAGCCACUGAAUUUGUAAUGAUGAAUGUGUAACCACAUCAGCCAGUACGGUAUGAUCAUAUAAAUAUUUCUACUAAAUUUAGGGAAAUUGUGAUAUGUAGUUUCUGAGAAAAUGAAAUGAAUGUUGCUUCGGACGGCUGGACAUAGGUUAACAAGUAUAUCCCCUCCUUCAGAGCAGGGUAACAGAUUGACUGUCAAAUAUGAGGUCAAAUAUAUGUUAGUGUAGGUGUUAUGAACAUGUAUCCAGAAUAUGUUUCUAGUUUAUCAAAAAGUUGAAUAUCUGAUGUCAUGCAUCAGUAUUGGAUUUCAUUCUAUGAACUUAUAUAGACCACUUCCAAGUUAUGUCCUUCUCCAGGAAAGAUCAUCAAGCGUUUUCCUGAUCGUCAUUAUGAAGGACAAACUAGAAAUACUAUUUGUUGCUUAGGUACUUAAUCACUCCAAUGACAGCAGUGCUGAUUAUCAAUUAUUAGAAUUUAAUUUGCCAAAUAAUUUAUGCAACAUAGCUUCAUAUUUUUCAAUCCAUCGCUCAGCAUGGAAAAGAAUUAACCAUGCCCCUAACAGACGAAUAAUCUUCAAUUAAACAAAUAUUUUUUACAGAAAUGCAACAACCUCGAAAGUGGUCCAUUUCUUUUGCUGAACUUUUCACAGAGAAGACUGCUUAUGGGUGAAGUCAUUGCUAAUGUCAUAAUGAUGAUGAAUAACAAUGCUGUGAUGUAUCAUUCAAAUCAGGUUUGCAUCAUACUAAAAGUACCAUUUAGAUUUUAACAUGAGAUCAGUCAGAAUGCAAAAGUACAAAUCACAUGGAUUUACAUGCAAAAGGGAUAUAAACCUUAGUUAUAUUUAUUGUUUUGAAAAUUUGAUUAAUAAUGUACAAGCUAUAUAAAUAUAAUAAUAAAUAAUUCAACA
rnacentral:lncRNA from 1 species